AUUGAACGCUGGCGGCAGGCCUAACACAUGCAAGUCGAGCGGAUGAAGGGAGCUUGCUCCUGGAUUCAGCGGCGGACGGGUGAGUAAUGCCUAGGAAUCUGCCUGGUAGUGGGGGAUAACGUCCGGAAACGGGCGCUAAUACCGCAUACGUCCUGAGGGAGAAAGUGGGGGAUCUUCGGACCUCACGCUAUCAGAUGAGCCUAGGUCGGAUUAGCUAGUUGGUGGGGUAAAGGCCUACCAAGGCGACGAUCUGUAACUGGUCUGAGAGGAUGAUCAGUCACACUGGAACUGAGACACGGUCCAGACUCCUGCGGGAGGCAGCAGUGGGGAAUAUUGGACAAUGGGCGAAAGCCUGAUCCAGCCAUGCCGCGUGUGUGAAGAAGGUCUUCGGAUUGUAAAGCACUUUAAGUUGGGAGGAAGGGCAGUAAGUUAAUACCUUGCUGUUUUGACGUUACCAACAGAAUAAGCACCGGCUAACUUCGUG
rnacentral:rRNA from 1 species